rnacentral:rRNA from 1 species
GAUGAACGCUGGCGGCGUGCCUAAUACAUGCAAGUCGAACGGAGAAUGUAGCAAUACGUUCUUAGUGGCGAACGGGUGAGUAACGCGUUGGUGACCUGCCCCGAAGUGUGGGAUAACAGUCCGAAAGGAUUGCUAAUACCGCAUGUGAUCACCGGGUUUAGAAACCGGUGAUUAAAGGAGUAAUUCGCUUUGGGAGGGACCUGCGUCCCAUCAGCUAGUUGGUAAGGUAACGGCCUACCAAGGCUAUGACGGGUAGGGGACCUGAGAGGGUGGACCCCCACAAUGGCACUGAAACACGGGCCAUACACCUACGGGUGGCAGCAGUAGGGAAUAUUGGUUAAUCUACGAAAGUGGGAACCAGCAACGCCGCGUGUGCGAUGAAGGCCUUCGGGUCGUAAAGCACUUUUUACAGGGACGAGGAAGGACGGUACCUGUAGAAUAAGCCUCGGCUAACUACGUGCCAGCCGCCGCUGUAAAAC